UCCAGACUCCUACGGGAGGCAGCAGUGGGGAAUAUUGGGCAAUGGACGCAAGUCUGACCCAGCAACGCCGCGUGAAGGAAGAAGGCUUUCGGGUUGUAAACUUCUUUUAAGGGGGAAGAGCAGAAGACGGUACCCCUUGAAUAAGCCACGGCUAACUCCGUGCCAGCAGCCGCGGUAAUACGGAGGAUGCGAGCGUUAUCCGGAUUUAUUGGGUUUAAAGGGUGCGCAGGCGGAGGUGCAAGUCAGUGGUCAAAUUGCGGGGCUCAACCCCGUACUGCCGUUGAAACUGCAUCCCUUGAGUGCGCGAGAAGUAUGCGGAAUGCGUGGUGUAGCGGUGAAAUGCAUAGAUAUCACGCAGAACUCCGAUUGCGAAGGCAGCAUACCGGCGCGCAACUGACGCUCAUGCGCGAAAGCGUGGGUAUCGAACAGGAUUAGAUACCCGCGUA
rnacentral:rRNA from 1 species